UACGUAGGGGGCAAGCGUUGUUCGGAAUUACUGGGCGUAAAGGGCGCGUAGGCGGCCGCCUAAGUCAGACGUGAAAUCCCCAAGCUUAACUUGGGAACUGCGUCUGAUACUGGGUGGCUUGAGUUCGGGAGAGGAAUGUGGAAUUCCAGGUGUAGCGGUGAAAUGCGUAGAUAUCUGGAGGAACACCGGUGGCGAAGGCGGCAUUCUGGACCGAAACUGACGCUGAGGCGCGAAAGCCAGGGGAGCAAACGGG
rnacentral:rRNA from 1 species